AAAGAGUAUGUAGGCGGCUAGAUAAGUUAAUUGUGAAAGCCCAAAGCUUAACUUUGGAAUUGCAAUUAAAACUAUUUAGCUGGAGUAUGAUAGAGGAAAGCGGAAUACAUAGUGUAGAGGUGAAAUUCGUAGAUAUUAUGUAGAACACCAGUUGCGAAGGCGGCUUUCUGGAUCAUUACUGACGCUGAGAUACGAAAGUAUGGGUAGCGAAGAGGAUUAGAUACCCGAGU
rnacentral:rRNA from 1 species